rnacentral:tRNA from 1 species
GAGGGUAUAGUUCAGUGGUAGAGUUCUUGCUUAGCAGGCAGGAGGUCCUGGGUUCAAUCUCCAGCACCUCCA